UCCGCAGGAGCCGCGAGAUUGGCUGGGCGCCCUUAAUAAUACAGUAGGUGGGGGAAAGCAGGGGAUAAAACACACCAAAAAUUGCAUUCAGACAACACAGAUGACAGUUAUUUUGAUUUGUAAAUGUCUACCUAGGUGGAAAAGCUGCCAUAAAUAAUAGCGAGCUGUCAGGCUGUGCAGAUCCGCGGGCUGUGCUGAGCGGGGCUGCGCUCAGGCCUGGUGCCGAUGGGAGGCUGUAUUUUUCACAGUGCAUAUACAGGAUAAACAUACGCUCUUCUCGCACAUGUUUGUCAUUGACAAAUUCCUGCUGCACCUGCACUAUGUCAUUACCGUGCUCAGUCACUGGAGCUGCACUUCAGAGACAGAGGGUUGCUGAAUUUUUUUUAUCUUUAAUAAUUCUCCUUCUUGUCCUUCAGCUAGGGCAGGAAAAUCCCCCGUUCCACAGCUCUGGUUUGCUGUCACACAAAUGAGGAGUUCCUGUUGGUUCUGUUGCAGCAGGCAGCAGCGCUGGCUCUGGGUGACAAUCUCCGGGCAGCCUGGUGAUGCACCGCGCUGCCAAUUUCUUCUCCCCAUGUUGGGAAAGCACAUAAAACAGCCAUUUCCAGGAAGAUACUUGGCUGUUGCUUUCGCUUGUUUUGUGCAUAAACAGAGCGCUUGAAUCUUCAGGGCUGUCAAUAUUUAUAGAUUGGUCUGUUCGAAGGCCAAGAGGGAGCAUUUAUAGUUAUGCGCUCUGCCCUCCGUAGGCUGUAGAACAGCUCGUCAGCCAGUGCAGGCAAAAUCGUACCCGCUCUGGCUCCUGACUGCAAUUCAGGGCACGGGAACUGGUUUUGUGAUGGAAGCAGGAACCAGCAACGAGGGCGGGUGCGGUUUGUCUGGGUGUAAGGUGCCCCCAGCCCCCGAUGUGACGCGGGGACGCUGCCUCCUUGCAGCAGCGUCCCCACCAGCGCAAGGGCCGCUCGUCAGAACGCUGCUCUGUUAAAUUCUGUGCUGAAUUCAGCCUGCUCACUUUGUUAUCUUGUCCAACAACAUCAACUGAUUCCUGAAAUGGCCCCGGAAGGUCUUGAUCAGUGAGUUGGAUUUCUGGUCAGGUAAUUGGUGGGAAGGAAGAGAGAGUGAGGAGGACUUUUGCUUUUCCCCAUGGGCUCUGAAAACGGCUUGGGAACAAGCCCCGCACCCGGUCCCUUAGCUCAGCUGUGAGCUGUGUUUGAAAUCCCACAAAUAAAGAGCUGAAAAAUGCCCUGAAGGUUUGGGAAACAUUGGGGAGCAUCCCUAGAUGCGUGUAUGGCUUCCCAUCAAGCACUACGUGAAAUUCAUGGUUUCAUGUGGCUUUGCCUGGGUGUUUGACUGAAUUUAGCUUUUCAUUCUGGGCUUGGACAGAGAAAUACGGGUAGACAAAGUCUGCAGCUUGAUCUGAGCAUGAUGUUCGCAUACCCUGGGACACAAAGCUGCUGGCUGUUCUGUACAGCCCUGACCUCCAGACUGAAAAGGAAAUUUCCCUGCUAAAGACGCACAGAUCUUCUAACAGUCCCUUCUAUCAAGCAGCAAAUCUCUACCAGUAGAUGCCCCAUCUGCAAAUACAUUUUGCACUGUGGUUGACUUCUAUGCAGUAUUUCAGCUGACCAGCCUUCCUGGGAUCACAAAGCAGAGUUUGCUGUUGAAUCAAAGUGCCUUUUUGUUUUCUUUGCUCCAUGACUGAUAAGUCUCACAGUGUCAUGCAACUAAAUAUAGCUUCUCCCUAUCGGGUGACACAGUGGCUGCUCCUGGCCGUGUCACCUCAGGUCGGGUUAAUUAACCCUGACAUCAUCCAUUUUCAUGGACGGAGUUCCCAUUCCCUGCUGCUUGUAACCAGAGGCCGAUCGCAGGGUGAACGCGGGCGGGAGCAACGGGGGGGCCGUGUCAACAGCGUCGCUUCGCACCGAGCCAAAGCGUUUCCAGCGCCUACAAAAAGGAGCAGAAGCCAACUUUUCAUCUCCUUGUUUUUCUUAGGGCUUAGCAAGGAACCAGUGAGUUUGCAGCAGCUCUGAUUACAGACGUUUGCUCUUUUCUUUAGCCCCGAUGACUGUGCGGUUGGCUGGGUGACAGCGUUUAUCCGGUGUCAGCGCUCCGGCCCUUCGCUUGGCUGUUCUCUCCAGGCUGUCCCCAGUGCCGCGGGAGAACAGCGAGCCUGGUGUUCGCUUUGGAAGGGGCUGUUUUGGGUGCGAUGUCGAGGGGUGAGGAGCCAGCACCAGACAGUCAGCGGAGGGUUGAACCAGCAGCUCUGACAGGCUGUAAUUGCUCCCAACCUUCUGCAGGGGUUAACGCCACAGGAGCGAAGACAAGCGGCUGCUCCAGCUCUGAAAUACCCUUUGUGGUAAGGAGCCUGCAGCAUUGCUGCUGUGCGUCUUGGUUUAGUAUUUUUCUAACUUGUGCUGCUCAUCUGUAUGGGCACUGAGUGGCCUCUCUUGAGAGCAAAAGAAAAUCUGUGCAGUUGCAGGAGGAAAUUGCUUCAAAGAUCAGCUUCGGGCGAGCAUUGUUCUGUGUGCAAGCCUUUAGGACGUGUUUGCUGUGUUUUGGGACCUCAUAGUCUGCGACCUAUUCAUGCUGCUCUAGUCAGAGAAGUAGCCAAAAAGGGCUUACAAAUUAAUGCACGACAGACACCGCAUCGCGCUCUUUUCCCCUUUGCACGGAGGCUUUUGUGAGCCGCAUCCUUUGCAGGCUGAUGCAUUGCAAUGUGCACAAGGCCAAACGUGAGUGACCGUUCCUCUUCAGGUUCGGGCUCUUCUCCGUUCCCCUGCUCUGAUUUUACUUUUUUCUUGUCCUCGUCUCAUUGGUGUCAUUUGUGCCGAGAGCUGGCAACCCAGGCAGCAGUGAGGCAGUGGGAGUGGGAGCAGCGGGGCUGAGACCUGCUGGGACCUGGGGUUCUGAACCCGCCCGUGUCUCUGCAGGGCAGCUCUGAAGUCACCCCUGUGUUUGGUGGUGGUGAUAAUAACCCAGGACGGCAGCUGGAAGGCUGUGUGUGGAUCUGGUGAUGUGGGAUGUGCGAGGAAGCAGCAGGUUGGAGGUGGGGACAGGAGGGACACAGCAAGGUGAGCAUGGCAGAUGUGGUUCUGGAGAAAAGGCAUCCAGCUGCAGCGGUGCCAGCCCGAGCAUCCCGUGUGCCAGCUGCACUCGUCUGGGUCCUGGUCUCUGGGGCGGGAAGGGGACAGACACCUGAGGUCCCAGCAAAACCUGUCCUGCAGUACUUGGAGCUGGUGAGAAGCCAGACUGACACAGAGCUUUAAGAAGUUCAGGAAGGUGGGGCUGGGAUUGAGGAGAUCUGGGUUGGUUUUGCCAAGUUAGCCCUGGCUUGCCUGGCUGAGCUUGGGGUGGUUCCUGCAGCUGACCCCGGCUGCUGCUGCUGAGCCAUGGCUUGAGACUUGAAAAUAAGCAUUGUUGGUUUUAUUUGGAGGACAAGUGCUACCAUUUUAUUAGAAAAUACUACCGAAGGAUGGCAGGAAGAGAGAGCAUAAAAGAUUAAGUCUACUCAUGGACUGGAUCAGAGCACAAUAUUUUGUCUCCCACUGUGCUACCAGCUGUAUGAGACGAGAAUGUCAGAAAUCCUGCAGCAGGCAAUUAGAGCCUGACGGCAGGCUGCUCGCCGCCUGACCUCGGGCACUUUGCUCUUGGUUUAGAUCCUGAAACAAGGAGGCUUUCUCCCAAAGCUCUUUGCCUUCUGCUUGCUUGUUAAGCCUGAACUGCCUUUGUGUCCCUCGGUGUGACCCGAGGGGUAGUGGGGAGAGGGAGGGAGCUCAGCAGCAGCAGCAUUGUGCCGGCCCCUUAGACAAAAUGGGCCCUGUCAGCCCAGAGCAUCCCCUUGUCCUGCAUCACAAGCAUCUUCCUCCUCCUCAAACUGUUGCAUGCAAGAUUUAUGUCUCCAGCCUCCACAGUACGUUAGCUCUGCAUUUUUCUGUCUGGAAUAUUAUUUUGCUACUUCAUGCUCAUAUUUUGUGAACGUCCCCAGGCCUGUUAUUUUUCUUCUGUUUCUCUUCGCAAUGUUUUUCAUUGUGGAAUGACCUGAGCCUAAUUCCUGUACCUUUUGCUCUGUGCAAAUGCAGCAGGAUUGUGACAGAAAGAGCUCUCUCUAAUGCGUGGACAGUGACGAGCAGCGGCUGGUUCAUGGCUAUUGACGUUCGCCCUGGGAUCGAUUCAAUGAGUCCCGCUGGCCGGUGCCUCCGUGGCACUGGUGGGGACCAGACGUCCCUGUGUCUCUCUCCUACCAUCACCCUCUCAGCAGCCAGACCCUGGCACGUGUGUUCCUGGGCGGGCUGGGGGGUUGUCACCAGGCAGGGGUGGUGACGUGCUGCUGUCCCCCCGUCCCGGGGUCUGGGUCCCCUUGGUGCCGCCUCUCCUGGUCCCACUGCUGGGGGGGAGCAGGGACGCUGUGCCAGCACUAGACCUGGGUGAGCAGAAACGUAUUUGUCAAUCAGCACGUUUUCUUUAUUUUUGCAAUGUACUCUGCUGGAGAACUAUUAUACAUAAUUGGUUCUGGAUUACUGCACAAACCGCAUUCAGAUAACGCUUGGCACCUUGGGAAUAGCUAAUGAUACAUAACAAACCAGCAGCAACGUGCUCAGGCUGAAGGGCUUUGUGUGUGUGUAUGUUUGGUCUUCUUUUUGUUUUCAAACGUGUCUUGAAGAACAAAAAUACACAUGUAUUUUAUUUUAAGCAAGCACCUCCUUGCACAGAUCUGUUUUGUUUUGAAACUUCAAGUGUGUUCCUUCAGCAGGUCAAUGUUAUCGUGCUGCUCUUGUGAUGCAGUGCCAGUCAUGUUUAUUUUCUUAGCUGAAAUUAUUUCCUCAACAGACUUCCUUUUGGAAGAGCACUGCUCUCUGCAUAUCUUGUUCACCCCUAAGCUCCUCUAGCUACUGCUCUGCUCUUCUGAUAGAGAUCUUACAGACAGGGAACAAUACUUUAUUAUUGGAAAGUAAAUGCUCAUAUCUGAGCCAUCCUAGAAUACAUCUAAAUCUGCAUGAAACAGACUUUAAGCAAAUGAACUCUAAACUCCUGGGUUUGAUUAUCUCAGAGAAUCCCUGCUGAAACUAAUAAGGCAGCAUCAUGCAAAAGACAUUCUAGGCUCAAUAUUACUAAGUAUUAAUUAUUGUUAUCUCUUUGCUAGUUGAUAGCAGUGCUUGCAGCCCUGCAAUUUAGCCUUCUAGCAGAAAGAAAGGUAUUGGAACAAAGCUAGAGAACAAAGCUUGAUAUAAACACAUCGGACCUGAAAGAAAAGCCGUCGUGAUGCACCUUGUUUCCUUCCCCAGAUCACAGUCCAGCAUGUCUCCGCUUUCAGAAACUGGCUUUAAAACCAUCUGUGCUGGAGAGCAAAUUUGCCGCUGCUCCUCCUGUAGAACCUUUUCCUGGGCUGCUGAGGCCAAGGGGACAGGCGAGGGGAAAAGCCUCACGUGCCUUUUCAAGCCUACCAUGUGCUCUCCAAGAAACACAACUUGGAUGACUUUGUACAACAGUGACAUCUGGCGAUACCCAUCAAUAUUUACUGCUUCCAUAUGCUGUUUAAGGGGGUGGAGUUAGAAUCUGCAAAUCCCUUAUCACUUGAGAAGUAAGUCAGAGUGUGAGCUUGGGUGUGAGUCCGGAGCUGCCAGGGCUGCUCCUGGUGCCAGCCCGCGCUCUCUGGUGUUGGCGCUCCCGUGAGCGGGUGUUGCGGGCCAAAGGCUGCGUGCAGAGGGACGGCAGGGGCGGUGCUGUGCUGGGCUGGGUGCGGUGCUGUGCUGCUGGCGGUGUGGGGGGCUGGCUUACACCGUGCUCUGUGCUGCUCCGGUGAGAAGAAGGGACUUAAAUCUCUGUGACUCCUCUUGAGCCCCUCUUGCGUCUCCCAUUGACUGACCCUGAAGGGCAGGGCUGCAGUCCCUGCUGGGAGUGCUUUAUUCCCAUUGCAGACCUCAGGUCCUGGUCAGACCUUACUUCAUCCAGCCUGGUUCAGCCUUUCUAAUUAUUAGGAGAACACUAUUUAAAUAAGGUGGAAAGUGCUCUCUGUUGAUGAGAAAUAAUUUGCCAAUCUCUCUGUCAAUACUCUGAAGUCAAAUAGCAAAAUAUUAGCAGAACUCAGAGGCAAUGUUUUCCUGUUGAUUUUGUGCAGGCAAGCUUUAUUACAACUGAGUCACAGACUUAUGUGUAAAGCACAACCAAAUACCUCUGAUACUUGCUUUGUGUUGAGCUGUGCUGUGCUGCAGGGCCAGUGGGACGUGGGGGGACAGUGUGAAGUGACGGGGGGUGCACAGGUGUGAAGUUGUUCAGACCCCCAGGUUCCUUGGCUGUUCUGUUUCUGCAGCAGCAGGACAGGGAGGGCUUAGAGAAGCUCUCCAGCAGGAUUUGGUAGUGGCUGAUCCCUGCUUCUGUGGGGAACUGCAGCCGCCCGAAGACAAGGGAAUGAUGAAGAGCAUUAACACGCUGAAACCAGUCCUCUCUUUUUGCAAAGAGAGACACACAUGGCUGGAAAACAAGUGUAGUCACGAGUGGGCUCUCCAUAGGGAUUCUCCACAGAGACUUCACAGCAAGUUUUCUGCAAGGACCAGAAACAUUCAGGCUUGUGUAGGAGGAGAUGGGGAGACAAUCGUUGCAGCACCUUUCAACAAACCCGUCGUUCCUAUGAAGUUGACAGCAUUAAAAUAACAAAUUACUCUGCAAAGAAAGCUGGUAAUUUUGGGUGCUUUCCACCGCGAUCAUCGCAGAAGUGUAAUAUCCAUUAUUAAGAGCCUUUUGGUGUCUCAUGAAGGAGCUGUUUGCACAUGACAAUGCAUCAUGGUGCUUACUACAGGGGAGGAUGUGGAGGCCUUGACCGUGGCUACUUCAGUAAUUCAUCAUUUUAAUUUGAAUGUUAAUGGUGGGAUGGGGCAGGUUAGGGAAGGUUGUCUGCCUCCCUCCCUUCCCAUCCUCCCUUUUUAAUAAUGCUUUCUCAUCCCGUUAGUCAGGUCUUAAUGCCCAAGAUGUCCAUUUCUCUUGCUCUCUUCCCUCCGCUCCGCUGCGGUCUCCACUCUGGAAUCCACAGUGCCCUGCAAUGAGUUAGUCCCUGAGGUUUGGGCAAGCGCUUGAUUUGUGUGAGGCUUAAACCAUGAAAACAAUGCCCACCAGACACUCCUAUUUUUAAAGAGAUGGCAGCUGAACUCCUGCUGGAUCUGCCACCCAGUCAUUGCAGAGAGACCACGCCACAAUCACAGCCUUGGGAUAACUCGGAGGUGAAGCUGCUGGUGGAGUUCAGAUACUGAACUUGAGGUCAUCCUGAAGCUCCGGGGGCGAUCCACGUCUCAGCCUCAUCCAACACCCUUGCUGGGGCAACCUGAGCAGUAGCCCCAGCUCUGUGUUACCCUGGUAUGAGACAACGCUGAUUUUCUGCAGCCUGAUGAAAGAGAAGUACUUCACCCCCUUUGCACCCCGGCGGCUGUACUGAGCAGCGAUUGCAGGGGGUGGAAUGAGCGUGUUGGGAGCGGGGGGACGUGGGUGGUGGGCGGGAUGUAACUGAGGUUAUGGUAGGGAGCCGGUCACUAUGGGGCUUGGGGCUUCACUGACCUAACUGCUUAUUUCCUUUGUUUCCAUGUUUUGCGUUGGUGGGAAGGGCGUUCUAGUGAGCUUAAAUGGCACUUAAAAUAUUAUGGAAAAGAGAACACAGGAAUAUUUGCCUCAUAACUUGCAGGCGCCAAAAUGUUCUUGUACAGUCUGCUUGUAAAGUUAGUGUUUGUCUAAGAAUUAUUCGGCAGCAGCUGCUGCUCUCCCAGACAAGUGCCCGCAGCUCUGAGGGGCAGCGGUGUCGAUGGGCUCCUGAAUGGGGCUAUGGGCCCAAAUCCUCCUUAAAAAUAAAAAUCCUAGUUAUUC